rnacentral:Y_RNA from 1 species
GGCUGGUCUGAGGGUAGUGAGUUGCCUCGCUUGAUCAUCCACAGUUACUGAUGGAACUCCUGUUCUACUCUUUCCCCUUCUCACUACUGCACCUGACUAGUCUAAA